rfam:Echinostoma caproni strain Egypt genome assembly, scaffold: ECPE_scaffold0022571
GGGGUACUAGCUCAAAUGGUAGAGCGCUCGCUUAGCAUGCGAGAGGUACUGGGAUCGAUACCCAGGUACUCCA